AAAAAAAAAACUUGCAACAUGGUUAAUUGGUUAUUAUAUCCCAAAUGAGUUCCCCGACCCAAAGAACAUCGACAACGUGACUUGUGUCGUCUGGAUCCUCAUAUGACCUCAUCGCGGCUGUUAUGAACGCAGACGCGAACGCCUCCGGAUUCUUGAUGAUGCAGGAGCAGAGCCCUAGUUAGUAUCAUCAACAAGAUCAUGCGUGACACGUUUUGUCGUCUUCAACAAGUGUUGCCAUUUCAACAGCCACAACUCCAGAUCUUCGUCUUUGGCAGACCUUAUCAAUUCCGGCGGCGAAGGUGGCUCCUUUCCUUGUCUCUUCAGAUUAUCGUUGCAAAUACCACUUGUAACCCUCACACUGAAGUUAAUUGCUUUAUCAAUUGUAGUUACUUAAUUGAUCAAAACUAUUAUUUAUUUAGGUAAAAUACAAACUCUUUCACGAUAUUAUAGUAAUAAAGUUCAAUAGUGUAUAGUGUUCGUACGUAGCUUAUACUAGUCCCC
rnacentral:sRNA from 1 species